rnacentral:rRNA from 1 species
ACGGGGUGCAGCAGGCGCGAAACCUCUACAAUGCUGGAAACAGUGAUAGGGGAACUCCAAGUGACCACUUUGUGGUCUUUUAUGAAGUCUAAAAAGCUUUAGGAAUAAGGGCUGGGCAAGACCCGUGCCAGCCGCCGCGGUAACACGGGCAGCUCAAGUUGCGUUCGCGUAUAUUGGGCCUAAAGCGUACGUAGCCGGCUGAGAAAGUUCUUGGUGAAAGCAUGCGACUUAAUCGUGUGAGUUGCCAGGAAUACUGCUCGGCUUGGGACCGGGAUGGGUCGGAGGUAUUCCAGGGGUAGGGGUAAAAUCCAGUAAUCCUUGAAGGACCAUCGGUGGCGAAGGCGUCCGACUGGGACGGGUCCGACGGUGAGGCACGAAAGCUAGGGGAGCGACCCGGAUUAGAUACCCGGUUAGUCCUAGCCGUAAAUGAUGUCUGUUUGGUAUUGCGUGGCUUACGAGGCUCCGCAGUGCCGUAGGGAAGCCGUUAAACAGACCGCCUGGGAGUACGCCGCAAGGC